GGUGGCGUGGCCGAGUGGUCUAAGGCGUCGGAUUUAAGUUAUUUGUUGCUUGACUCCCGAUGAACGAAAGUUCGCGCGAGUUCGAACCUCGCCGCCACCA